UUAUGAAUGCUGAGGAUGUUG
rnacentral:miRNA from 1 species